UACGAAGGGGGGCUAGCGUUGCUCGGAAUGACUGGGCGUAAAGGGCGCGUAGGCGGUUCGUACAGUCAGACGUGAAAUUCCCGGGCUCAACCUGGGGGCUGCGUUUGAUACGUGCGGGCUUGAGUUCGGAAGAGGGUCGUGGAAUUCCCAGUGUAGAGGUGAAAUUCGUAGAUAUUGGGAAGAACACCGGUGGCGAAGGCGACCCUCUGGACGGACACUGACGCUGAGACGCGAAAGCGUGGGUAGCAAACAGG
rnacentral:rRNA from 1 species